rnacentral:rRNA from 1 species
AACGAACGCUGGCGGCAGGCCUAACACAUGCAAGUCGAGCGCACCUUCGGGUGAGCGGCGGACGGGUUAGUAACGCGUGGGAACGUGCCCUUCUCUACGGAAUAGCCUCGGGAAACUGAGAGUAAUACCGUAUACGCCCUUCGGGGGAAAGAUUUAUCGGAGAAGGAUCGGCCCGCGUUGGAUUAGGUAGUUGGUGGGUAAUGGCCUACCAAGCCGACGAUCCAUAGCUGGUUUGAGAGGAUGAUCAGCAACACUGGGACUGAGACACGGCCCAGACUCCUACGGGAGGCAGCAGUGGGGAAUCUUAGACAAUGGGGGAAACCCUGAUCUAGCCAUGCCGCGUGAGUGACGAAGGCCCUAGGGUCGUAAAGCUCUUUCAGCUGUGAAGAUAAUGACGGUAGCAGCAGAAGAAACCCCGGCUAACUCCGUG